AGGAAAAGAAACUAAACAGGAUUCUUGUAGUAAUUGCGAAUGAACAAGGAAAAGUUCAUAAUGAAAAUUGAGGCUUUGUGGUCUUGAAUUGUGUUUGACAGAUGCACUGCCAAUGGAAGCGUAGAUGGAAGCCAUUUGGAAAAAUGCAUUAAUGAUGGUGAGAGUCCCGUGUGUCAUUUACAGUUUUCUGUGCACGGUGUGCGUUCUAAGAUUCACGUUCCUUGGGAUUGGAACGCAAAGUGGGUGGUAGAUUUCAUUCAAAGCUAAAUAGUGGAUUGAGACCGAUAGUAAACAAGUACCAUGAGGGAAAGGUUAAAAGGACUUUGAAAAGAAAGUUAAACAGUGUCUGAAAUUGCUGAAAAGGAAGCAGAUGUAACCAAUUCGUUCUUUUCAAGAUUGUCAUGUACAAGCGUGAGUGCUGGCUGCAUCAACGCAAGUGUGGCAGCUGCCACAAAUCUGAUUGUGCCUGGUGAUUCUUGCUUUGUGUGUCAAACAUCAUUUUGCAAUCAAGGAACACAUGGAUCAUAUGGACGUUUGCUUUCGUGUGAAUAAAUGUUUUUUGUAGACAUCAAUUGUGGAUUGUCAUUGUGCGUGGAUGGUUUGGUUUUUGAUUGCGUUCUCACAUUGUGCGUGCACGUAUCAAUAAAUUUUAAGUGACUCAAAAACAUGA
rnacentral:rRNA from 2 species